rnacentral:lncRNA from 1 species
UUGACUCUGAGAUGCUGUUCUCCUCAUUUCCCACCUCUCUGUUGAGUUAUGUACUUUAUUUUUGAUGCUGUAAUCUGGAGAUUCUGAGAUUCAGUCGAAUGGUAUACUCACAGUUGUUUUACCCAUGUAUUCAAAAUGGAUUAGAGCCAAAUUCAACACGAGCAUUUUGGAUUUGUUUGUUUUUUAAGAUAUUUUCUCAAUUGACAAAAUGGCCUUAUAAUGUGAUACUCUGCUACUUUGAUGUCCCCAUGAUGAUUGCGCUGCCAUUGCUUGAUUUUUUUUUAGAUUUAGACAGAUUCAAUAUUUUUUGAACAUUGCUGUAGUUUAGUCUUGAUUGUCCAUUCUGGAUCAGUGAUGUUAAUGUUUUUACUGCGUUAUCUAUCUGAAAUCCAGUUGAGGAUAGACUUACUUCCUGAGAUCCAGUCCAUUUUUUAUUGAGCAUCAUUAAUUACCACUCAUGGAUUAUAUUGCAAAUGUGAGAUACUACCCUCCUUGCCUUUUGUUUGUCCCGGGUUUUCUUAACAAUCCGGUCCCAGAAGUGAGCAUUUGAAUUUAUCAUGAAAGUUCAAUUUAUACGAUCGCUUUUGCUUGCUAUAUGAUGACUUUAUAGUAUGGAAUUGCGUGUGUAGUCAGCUACCUUACACUUUUUCUUUCCCUCUGUUUCAACUCUUAGAAUUUUGGUCCACUUUUAUUUUUGAGUCAUUCUGUCAUGUUGUUACUUGUCCCUGGUGUGCAAAAUUUGUUCUUGAAGGUGAUAAUAUCGUAUAUGUUUUUGCAGCUACUUUUUUUAAUUUGCAGACAUCUAUUGAGGGAUAAGUGUUAGAUGAGAACGUAUACUCCAUUUGAGUUCAUUUCUUGGAGCUUUGGUUCAUUUUCUAGUCAUUUUCUCCUGUCGCCAUCUUUCAUUGGCAUUCACAAUUCCCUUUAAGGGAAUGAGAAAUUCCUGUUUACUUGUGAGGUCAUUCAUUUCAAAAGGCUGACAAUCAUUCAAGUGCCAGGCUUCCUUUAUGGAACUUUGUUUCCAAAGCUGGUCGCCUCACAUCUGUUCUUCUUCCCCUUCAUGUAAUUUCAAAUUUCUUGCUUCUAUAGCUAAAAUGAAUUUUCAUCCAUUCACUUCCAUUGCUUAUGGUCUGAAAAGGAGGGCUGCCUGAGCACGUGGGGCUUUACUGUUGAUCUUCUUGUAUGAGAGAUGCAUUAUGAUUUUUAGCUUCCUAUUUCAUUAAUCCCGAGUACUUUCAUUGAUGACAAAAAACCAUGUGGUGUUUUUAACAGGAUUCUCACUGCAAUCAAUUUUUCAAACUAUUCCGGUUGAGAAGUAGGUGAUAAAUUGCUCCUUAGCAAAAUGAUGCUACUGCAGUUUCGUCUAGCUCAGAUUGUGUGACUAAGCUACAUUGGGUUAGCUAUCCAGCUGCUUCAGAUUCUCCAAAAUGCCGAGGUGUAUUGCGUAGUCCAAGUCGCCACCACCUGUGGUCCAUUGGUUGAUAAUUUGCUGGCCAAGUUUGCUAUAUUCAAUCUGGAAAUUAUCUUCUGUAUUUCUAUUCAGCCACAUUCUCGACAAUAUCUACUUUCUCCAAUAUGUGUGUAUAGUAGUAGGGUUUAUCUGCAGCUGGCAAUGUAAGUUCGACCGGUCCUGCUGCUUCUUGUUGUAUGUACCUUUCUUUUCCCUUUUGAUUCGAAAGUAAUUUACUGUGCUCAGACAGACCAGUGGAUGUCAGAUAAGCUCAUGUGUUUUAUUCGUGCAUUGUGCUAUAAAUUCUACUCCCUCAGUUAUUGGUUUCAGAAUUGUUAAAUCCUUUCAUCUGGAUGGAAAUCUCGUGCUCUCAUGCAACUGUAUAUCACUUAGGAUCAAAUUCAUAUGUUUAUAGUCAUUCCACUUCAAAUACAACUGCAUGUUCAGUGAUUUUGAGCAUUGUUGUUCAUUUCAUUCGUAAAUCCUGAAUAUGAAGUGUCUAUAUAUAUAUAUAUAUAUAUAUAUAUAUAUAUAUGUAUGUAUGUAUGUAUAGGAGUGACUUCCCACGAAAGGUCGUUUUUACAGUUAUUCUACAAGUAUAGGGAUCCUUCAGCAAUGGAGAAAAAUGUCGUGCUCGCCUUCCUAGGGACGAGGACAUAGAAGAGCAUGAGCCCCCACUGGACAUUCGCAGGUGGAUCUUGUAUGAUCUUCAGACGGAUCCUUAGUGACGGUCAAAAUGUUUAAAUUUUCUGUUUUGACACCUUUUUUUCUUGUUUUGACGGUUAAUGCCCCUCGAAAUAGUGUCUAAAACUUCUAUAAAAACGUCAGACCAACCACUGGUGUUAAUCACUUGGCUAAGAAAAUACAUGAUUCAUUAGACAAAAGUUGCAACUUUCAAAUACUUCUAGAUCAUAUAGGGGGUGAUUUGCUAUAGAAAAUUACUAGAAUUCCCUUAAAAAACAGUCCAUAGUUCAAGUAGGGUUUGUCUUACUUAGUGCAAAGAGUAAAAGAUAGACAAAUUUCAAAUUAUGGUGAAGGCUAAUUUGUCCAAGCUCUAUUACUAGACAACUAAAAUCUAAAGAAAAGUGAUUUUGAAUCAAGAUUUGAAACCUUUAUUUUGUGUUUUUAUCUUUGUAUCAUUCAGCCAUUUUCUUUGUAAUAUUCCCAACAUUUUGCACCUUUGAUCGUGAUACAUUUCCCACGCUUUGAUACACCCAAUAUAGACCACAUCAUAGGUGUAUAUUCUGAAUAGGGGUGUAAGAGUCGAGUAUAUUCUGAAUAUACAACAUCAUGGGUAUAUUCUGAGUUUCGAACUAAUCAAACCGAGUCUCGUUCGAACUCGAUUUUGAACUCGUCGAGUUCAAAAUGUCUAGUUUGAGUUUAAAAUUUUUUUAAAAAAUUAAUUAUUUUAUUUUAAAAUGAAUAAAAUAAUAAUUUUUCUUAACGAAUAAUAAAAUAUUAGAGAUAUAUAUAUGUAAUUUUACUAUUAAAAUAAAAAAUUAAAUACAUAAUCAAAUUUGAACCGGCUCACGAGAUAAUGAGAUUAGUAUUUUUGAACUCGAAUUUGACUUGAUUAACUUGAAUUUGACUCGAGCUCGAUGUUGACCGAACUCAAGCGAUUCGAUUCGUUUGCAGGUUGCGGUCCUAAUUCUGAGUACAAAAGUUCCUUUCCCACACAAAAUACAUAUGAUUGAUGUCUUUUACAACAUUGCCUGAUAUGGUACUAAAACCAAUCUUGACAGUUUCUGCAGUAAAUAUGUUCUCAUCUCAAGAUCUACGUCACUAUUUAUACAGUUAUCCAUAUGCACAUUUAUACCAAGGCAUUUCCCAAGUUUCAGGCUUUCAGCUACAGGGUUUCAACCUAGGUCCAUUGGGGCCUUGUUCAGUUACAGGGUUUUUUAGUGAGUCCCUUUUAUAUUAGUCUUUGACUCAAUUUUACGAUGACUCCUGAGUGUUUCUAAUUUAACUGGGUGUGUGUUGAUUUCGGUUCGGAAGAAAAAUUUCCCAAGUUUCAGUCCACAGCUACAGUUAUGCUAUGGAUAUGAAGUAUCAUAAAUUGUUAGAUGACCCUUUUAGAAGGUGAAUGAGAUAUUACUGCACAAUUUUCAUUUAUUUAGUGCAAGAAAAUGAAGCAUUUCAAUUACAAAAAAAAAAAAGAAAUAAUUUUGGUUAAAUUUUGAUACAUUAAAAGUUAGUAUAAUAACAAUAAUUGGGUCUGUUUGAUUAUCAAGAUUUGCAUAUAUAUAUAUAUAUAUAUAUAUUAUAAAUAUAAUUUUGAAUCACUUUUUUACCUAAUAUAAAUUACAUUACAAGUAAUGCUACAGUAUUAUUUUAGAUACUUUUUAGCUUAUGGGAGGUCUCUACAGUUAAAUCCCUAUGCAUAUUUAGCUGCAACCACCUUGACCGAGCAACCAACCAACAUAGGCAUUUCCAAAGUUUUCACAGUACACUGGUUAGAUAUGACCACCACCACCUCCUCCAGUGGCAGCCAGCCGCCACAACCAUCGGCUGAACCCCAGCUGAUCCCGAAGCUCCCAGAUGACGUGUCCAUCGACUGCCUAGCAAGAGUCCCCAGCUCCCAUUACCGUGAUCUCUCUCUUGUCUCGAAAACAUGGCACUCCGCCAUAACCUCCUCUACACUCUUGACCGCCCGGUCCCGCCUCCGUACCACCCAAACCUUUCUUUACCUUAACCUCCGCAUCGACAACUCCGUCGACUGGUACACUCUCGUCCCUAAUUGCCAAAACCCACAAAAACUCAUUUUUCCCCUUCCCCGCAACCGGGUCCAGCCCGUAGGGCCCGCGUUGGCUGUCCUAGGCCCGAAAAUAUACGUAAUUGGGGGGGCUUUUGAUGGAAUUCCGUCAAAUUCGAUGUGGGUUUAUGAUUGUAGGUUCAAUAGGUGGGAGGAAGGCCCUAGAAUGAAGGUGGGCCGGGAGUUCGCCGGAGCCGGGGUUGUUGAUGGGAAGAUUUAUGUUCUAGGUGGUUGUGUUGUGGAUGGUACGGCUCAGUCUAUGGACUGGGCCGAGGUUUUUGACCCGGUUACCGGGUUGUGGACCACGGUGCCGAGCCCUGUUGAGGUGAGGUUGAAGCGGAUGCACGCGAGCGUGGUGAUGGAGGGGAGAGUUUAUGCAAUGGCGGGUAGAAGUGGGGAGGUGUAUGAUGUUGGGGUGGUCGGGAAGUGCGGAAACGUGUUAAUAAUUUGUCGGCGGCAGCCUGCGGUGGUUCAGGGAGUGUUGUAUUGUUGCAAUAUUUUUGGGAAGAUUGCAGGGUAUGAUGUGGAGGAAGGUGUUUGGAAGGAGUUGAAGGGUGUAGGGAAAGGGUUGCCUACGUUCGUCUAUGGCACAACGAUGGUGAAUUUCGAUGGGAGGUUGUGUGUUGUUUGGGAGAAAAAGGGAAGUGGGAAGGAGGUGGAGAUAAAGUGUGCGGAUAUUGAAGUUUGGAAGGAUGGGGAUGGAAUGUUGGCUGGAAGGAUUUUGUGGUCUGGUGUGAUUCUCAAAGUUCCUAAUGGAGCUGAGAUUGUGCAUUGUAUGGCAGCUGAGUUCUGAUCGUGAUGUUUGGUGCAGGGCAUGGCAAUUGUUCUUUGGUGGACAUGUUGUUUAUAAUAUUCAGGUUCUUUCAUCUUUGAAGUAUGCUAGUCAUUUAGUUAUCUGAUUCAUUUGUUUGAAUGCUUUGCUUUUUGUGGGUUUAACCUCAUAUCAUGCAUGUAAACUUCCCUUCCUCGUUCUAAUUGAAUAGUCAUUUAAUAUAGUUAUAUAAAACUGGUUCGUUGCAAAGAGUGUGAACUUUUACUUCAUUCUUUGUGAGGAAAGGGGAAAAUAGAGCGCAAAUUGGGGAAAUGGCCAUUGAGGAGGAACAUCCCCGAACCUCUGAAGCACAUAUAAAAAGGAAUAAGCUCGUGUACUACCCUACAAAUUGUAGUAUUGUUUCACACUGAAUAAGCUCUAUGGGUAGUCAAAUUUUUACUGGAAAACAAAGUUAAUUGUAGGCUGACAUGAAUAAGAAUAAUGGCAUAUAUAUUGCCAUUGAAAAGAUAUUGAAAAUUGCCUCUGCUUAGAGGGCCCCUUCGUUGCCUUUAUUUGUCCUUUUCCAUAUUUUCAUUUAAUUUUUCAGUAAUUCAAGUAACUUAGUUAGAUUUUUUUAUUCAAGAAUUGGUGUUUCAUUCAUGACCUUUGGAACUUAAACACAAUGUCAUGUGUUGAAUUAUGUAAAUGUGUCUUUGGUAGCACAUUUUGGUAUAGUGGCUUGCAACCCUUUGAUACUCUUCUGCUGGGUAAAUGAACUUUAUAAAUGUAGUUACCUUCACCUGUGUCCGCAAAAUAUUAUUGCUGAUAAACUGAAGUUUCAUUAUAUAUUAUCAGGCAGAAAAAAACACUUAGCGAAAGAGGGGGGGAAAAGUUUGAAGGUUAAGUGUUGUGCUGUGUAUACUUAUUAGUAGUGAAGGUGUUUUGGACUUGUGCUUAUGAAUGCCGGAUCCAAGUAGUCAAAAGUACUACUGAAAUUAUUGCAUAGAUUUUUGGAAUUUUAUUACUAAGGUUUAGCCUAAACUAUAGCACUAAUUUACGGGCUGCUUUGUUCGUGAUCCAGAGUAACAUUUGGUUUUGGAAUAGUAAACUAGGCGAUCGCAAUGAUUGUAAUUCAACCUUUUGCUGUGCUUGGCUGGUUCUAUACAUUUUAAUUAACUUUUUUCUCCCUUAUUUCUAGUUAAUUUUUCAUCUUCUUAGUCCUUUUCUGACUUAAAUUUUUCCCCCUUAUUUGAUAUUAAUUGGUCAUCUUGCCUAGAAUAUGCUUUCAUAUAAUUAUGGAGCAAACAAUCUAUGGAAUAAAGCCAGCAGCUGAACAUGUCCUAUACUGUAAUGAGGGUUACCCGGCAGACUGACUGCCUCCACUUUCAUAAGAGUUCAAAAACAUUUGAUUUUCAUAUGCCAAGCGAUGUCAUUCUUCCAAUCCCAGAAGACCCAAACUAGUGUUUCAUGUCUUUUGUUCUUUUGCCUAACUAUGAAGUCCGCUGGCAUAAACUGUUCUUUUAGCUUCUUUCUCCUUGUUUGGACAUUUUAAUCGUUCAUUACUGCUUCUUGAGCUUCUUGCUGGAAAAUUUUCUCCUUUUUUCUUAUCCUAUUCGCCUUUGAAUUUUUCCUGGAUGGACCAAUGAUGUAAUAAGAAAUAAACUGCGUUAUCUAUCUGCAAUUUCCCAAAUGGAAUUGAAGAUUAAUUUGUCUUCCUGAGGGUCCUGUAUGAUAAUUAUCAGUCUAUUCAUUUUUUUUAAUUUCUUUUUCGAUAUUGAAGCGUGUACUGGUGGUUUAAUUUGUUUUAAGAUCUGAGGAUGAGCAUCAGUGAUGAUAUAUGACAAUUGUUAUCCUUGCACUUUGAUUACCGGUGAAGAAAACUAUGGGGAUUGACUCUGAUAUGCUGUUCUCCUCGUUUCCCACCUCUCCGUUGAGUUGUGUCCUUUAUUUUUGAUGCUGUAUACUCACAGUUGUUUUACCCAUGUAUUCAAAAUGGAUUAGUGCCAAAUUCAACACAAGCAUUUUGGAUUUGUUUGUUUUUUAAGAUAUUUUCUCAAUUGACAAAAUGGCCUUAUAAUGUGAUACUC